UACGUAGGGAGCAAGCGUUGUCCGGAAUCAUUGGGCGUAAAGCGCGCAUAGGCGGCCCCGUAAGUCCGCUGUGAAAGUCUAAGGCUCAACCUUUGAAAGCCGGUGGAUACUGUGGGGCUAGAGUCCGGAAGAGGCGAGUGGAAUUCCUGGUGUAGCGGUGGAAUGCGCAGAUAUCAGGAAGAACACCGAUGGCGAAGGCAGAUCUCUGGGCCGUAACUGACGCUGAGGAGCGAAAGCAUGGGGAGCGAACAGG
rnacentral:rRNA from 1 species